AUUUGAAACGUUUCAGCCAAAAAUGUUUCCAUUGUCAAGGUGUUUUUUGCAGAAACGUUUCAGAUUU
rnacentral:pre_miRNA from 1 species